UACGGGGGGAGCCAGCGUUGUUCGGAUUUACUGGGCGUAAAGGGCGCGUAGGCGGCGUGACAAGUCACUUGUGAAAUCUCCGGGCUUAACUCGGAACGGUCAAGUGAUACUGUCGUGCUAGAGUACAGAAGGGGCAACUGGAAUUCUCGGUGUAGCGGUGAAAUGCGUAGAUAUGCGGAGGAACACCUGCGGUGUAGACGGCUUACUGGACCGUAACUGACGCUGAGGCACGAAAGCGUGGGGAGCAAACAGG
rnacentral:rRNA from 1 species